UACGAAGGGGCUAGCGUUGCUCGGAAUCACUGGGCGUAAAGGGCGCGUGAGGCGGCGCAGUUAGUCAGGCGUGAAAGCCCUGGGCUCAACCUGGGGGAUUGCGCUUGAGACGGCUGGGCUUGAGGACGGGAAGAGGCUCGCGGAAUUCCCAGUGUAGAGGUGAAAUCGUAGAUAUUGGGAAGAACACCGGUGGCGAAGGCGGCGAGCUGGUCCGUGACUGACGCUGAGGCGCG
rnacentral:rRNA from 1 species